rfam:Oryza sativa Indica Group cultivar 93-11 Ctg042441, whole genome shotgun sequence.
GGAUGCGAUCAUACCAGCACUAAAGCAUCGGAUCCCAUCAGAACUCCGAAGUUAAGCGUGCUUGGGCGAGAGUAGUACUAGGAUGGGUGACCUCCUGGGAAGUCCUCGUGUUGCAUCCC